rnacentral:miRNA from 1 species
CAGAAGAUAGAGAGCACAGA